GAACUGCUGCGGUGUUACCUGGUCUGGCCGUACGGGACGGUCCACGUCUGCUGCACUGUUUACCUUACCUCGGGGAGUGGUCCCAUCGAAGUGGUGAAAGUGUCCUCCGUUGGACAGAUGACAGAUUGUUGAGCUGAAAUAUUGAGCAGAUUCUCUUGUUCCGGCGAAACAGAAUGGUUCAUUGUUUCCGUUUACGUGCAGCGACGACGACGACGACGACGAUGAUGACGGGGAAAUUCUAUUCGGAACCCGGUGAUAGUGGAUCGAAAGGUCGACUCUUAUUAGAUUGAUUACCUCCCGGUUGGAUUGUGUCCGUUGUCUGGAGGAGAACUGUGCGAUCUAGUGGGCCUUGAGAGUGAAAGUGCACUAUUUGGAUGACAUUGAACCCUAUCGGAUUGUCGGAAACAGUUGGUCAUUAGAGUAGGUGAUUUGAAUAGACUGAUUGCCGAUUUUCGGCUCGGGUGGAAAAGGAUCGACAAAUCAACAGAGCAGCAACAAAUCACUUCAACUGAAGAGGAUAAGAAACUCAAAGGUAUUUUCUCUAUUCAAAACAAGUGAUUAUUUAUUUCGUUACGUUCCAAGAUUGUUUUAAUGAGUCUAAAUUGAGUUUUAAUUAACGUAUUUAAUAAUAAAUGAGCUGCAUCGAAAGUGUUUGCUCGAGUGUCUUAACCUAUCUAACAAUCCAUCUAGUUUCAGGCCAACUCAACCCGCCGUGGAUUCUAAGCAUUAAUCAUCAUCAACUAACUCGUUUUCAGCCCAGUGUUCAAAUCAAGACGUACCAACUCUAUCUUGUUGCCAGCGAAAAGCCGCAAACAAGGGGAGAUGGUUACGCAAAAAAGUUGUUCUCAUUAUAUAAUUUCGAUGUUUAUGAACAUUUUUUCUGUAACGAAAGCAUGAUAGUCACACCUCUUUCUUCUAACAGCGACGAGUACGAACAGCGAUGCACAUACUGUCCCACUGACAGCAGCCCGACUGCCCGUCCGCCGGAUUGCUUCUGCAAACGACCACCAGAUGACAGGUCGGACCGGCUGUAAAGCUUUCUGGCGGGAAUAUUGCAGGCAAACGUUGCUAAUAAAAUGAUGUCAUUCUUAUUGGUGUUGUUUCAAGAACUUUCGAUUCUCUAGUAGAAGUUACAGUGAUUUAGAGAAAAACUAAUAAUAGCAAUUCACAAAUAAAAUUAAAUAGAAUCGACGUUGAACUACUACUUGCUUGAUUGGCAAAUUAAAGAAUAUCAAUAGAAACAGCUGCUAAAUAUCCAAUCGCUUAUUAUAAACAGUCUAACGUUGAAUGUUUGCUUCCAUAGCUUCAAAAUACCAUUGAUUCGCUGAUAUAAACUAGGCAU